UAUAUAUAUAUAUAUAUAUAUAUAUAUAUAUAGAGUGGAGCUAGAAUACUUCUAAAUGUACCAAAUGGGUGGUGCUUUAGAGUUUUUAGCCCUUGGAUGGAGAGAUGUGAGGUUGAGAUGAUGGUGGUAGGUGGUGGUAGAUAGUGAUAUGUGGAAUAGUGUUUGAUCCAAGAAAUAUUAGUAAUUAAAGAGUGGAUCCAAGGGUUAAAAACUUAGAAACACCAAGUGGGUGGUGCAUCUAAAAGUAUCCUAGCUCAACUAUAUAUAUAUAUAUAUAUAUAUAUAUAUAUAUAUAUAUAUAUAGAGAGAGAGAGAGAGAGAGAGAGAGAGAGAGAGAGAGAGAGAGAGAGCUAGAUUGGUAUACUAUCGGUAGCACGAAGGUCUCCGUGCUACCAAGUUGUUUUCAAUGUUGUGGCUUCCAAAUCGACGAUCAGCUCCGUUAGACUUGAUCUACACUAUUUAAAGUAUUUGAAAACUAAAUUUCAUAAUUUUUCGACAUCAUUUGGCUAGUGAUCAAAAGAUUUCAAAAUUGAAAAUUUUAAUGGUCGAUGUGAUGCGUUUGUAAAUUUAACAGUGUAAAACAAUACAAAUCUGAUGAAUUUUUAUAGAAAUUUUUUUUCACUAUUUAGAGUAAGAUCAAUACCUUUGAUAUUAAGUUCAAGUCUUUUUUCAUCAUUUUUAUGAGAUUUUUAUUUUCAGCCGUUCAUUUUUAGACUAUUCGUUUCAUAGGUAAAUGAUGUCAAAAAAUUAUAAAAUUUAGUAUUCAAAUACUUUUAAUAGUAUAGAUCAAGUCUAAUAGAGCCGAUCGUCGAUUUGGAAACCACAACAUUGAAAACAACUUGAUUACACGUAAGCCUCCAUGCUGCCGAUAGUAUACCAGUCUAGCUCUCUCUCUCUCUCUCUCUCUCUCUCUCUAUAUAUAUAUAUAUAUAUAUAUAUACAGAAUCCAGUUAUGGUGUUUUUAAAAGCACUAAGCACUUGAUAUUUGUAAAUUUUUUAUAAUUAAAUUUAUCUCUUUGAAUUUUAUUUCUUAGACUAUACUAAACCACCUACUUA
rnacentral:lncRNA from 1 species